rnacentral:lncRNA from 1 species
AAGGGGCUACAAGGGAUCCAUGGAAAGAGCAUUCCCAGAAGCGGGGCCAGGGCAGUGCGCACAGUGAGGAGAGCAGGUGUGUGUGAGGGCCAGCUGCUCUGAUUCACAGACAGUCCCUCCCAGUUGAGGGUUCAUCAGGAACUAGAGGACCAACCAACAAGGUCAUUUACCUGUCACCACUGCUGCAUUCACUGGUUGAAACAAAACGUUCAAAGCCCCCUCGGAAGCCCAUCCACAGGUGUGUGACUGUGAACCGCAUCGUAAUCUCCUAGAAAGCAAGAACAUCAGGCUUACAUUUUCCACUUGCCUCUCACGGCUCAGAGCUCUGCAGUAUAUACAGCCCUGCCGCGGAGACAUUUGGCAAUGUCUGGAGACACUUUUGGAGUCACAAAUCAGGGGAGAGAUGCUGCUGGUACAUAGUAGGUGAGGAAACUGGGCCCUGAGACAUUAACUUGCCCAAAAGAUCACAGUGGGCAACAUUCUAGAGCACAGUGGAAGCCGACAGGAAUGUCAGUGAAGAUGGAAAACAGAACGUGGAGAGAGAUGUAGCUUACUAGAGCCCUGUGGCUUCAAUCCCCACCAGGAAUGUCGUUUAAGAGGAAGGUGAUCUAGCACAAAUUCACAUUUGCUUGAGGAAGAAUACAAAUGGAAGCAGCCUCGGGGAGCGGGCGGGGCUGGGGAAUCCCUGGCCUCCCUCCUUUCCUUCUGGCUGAUCUUCUGCAGAAGACCUCACAAAAGGGAGCUGAGGGGCCAGGAAGCCUGUGGAUGCCCUGAAGAAGAAUGAGUAGAUCUGAAAGGGCAGUAGAACAGAACCAGAAUCCAGUGCAAAGGCCCUGGGGCAGGAGUUCGCAGGAGAAGCGGGGAGAAGGAACCAGCCUAUGAUCCAGGAAUGCAGUGAACAAGAUUUGGGAAGUUGACAGAGAAUAUGAGGCCUCCUCUCCAAACAGAAACUCCAGGACGCUUGGUUGAGUCACUGACACAUGCACAGUGCUGAGCAUAGUACCAGACACCAGAGUCUGUGUUCCAGAAAUGGAAGAAUAGGUGAGUAAUGAAAGUCUAAGUAAGCAAAUUCUUCGCAAAUGGGGAAAAGAUUGAAUGUAUAGGGCUGCAUAUAUUAGAAGCCCCCUGGAAUCUCUGCAUCCAGAAGAUUGCAGUCACCUUUGAAGCACUCACCACCAGAGUCUACUCGCACACUCUCCUGUGGCAGCCGUUCACCUCGGCCCUUUUCCUAGGGAUUUGCCUUCAAGUCCCAGAAUGGGCCUCAGGGUCUUUGCAUUCGCCUUUCUAUGAGUCUGAAACACCACCCACCCCCUCACCUGUGGGCAGGCAAAGCACCUCCUGUGUUCAUGUCAUCUCCUGUAUCAAGCCCUUCCUGAUGACCAACUUGCAGCCGGGUGCCCUCUAUCCAUGCCUCCAUGGCCGCCUAUGAUAAUGUCCCCCAUAUCAUUUACCAUUCUGCUCAUGAAUUUGGCUUCAUUCAUCUCGCAACAACCCCAGAGUAUUAAGCCACUCGAGGGUGGAAGCUGGUGCUUUUACCUCCGCACCUCUCAUGCCCGACAGAGUCCAUGGCAGAAGGCCGGCUCUCAGAUUUUAGCUGCAUUCCUGAAUGAAGGAAUCAAUAAAAGCCACACAGCAUUAAGUGGCAGACUCUAGUAAUUUAAUUCCUGGUCCUGGGCUCUUUGAUAUAAAAUAACUCUUCUAUUUUUAAUACACCCCACAUUCCUGAAGAUGACACUACUGCAAAAUUAAAGAAAUGUGAUGAACAGCUUACAACCUGCAACACACUCGGCAGCUCAAAAUGACAACAUUAAUUUAAUGAACUUAAACACUGGUGAACUUUUUAACACAUCCAGAGUUAUUUACACUGGGAAAUGCAUACUUAAGACUGCCUGCCAAAGAGACUCAAAUAGAGAUGACACAUAUAUCUUUCACAUGUUAAUUUGCAUUUGAAACUUUGAGCUUUGAUACAGGUUGGCUUUUCUCUUUUGGAAUGAAGAAAUCAAGAGACUAAUUUUUUACCCAUCCAUCCAUCUAUCCAUCUAUCCAUCCAUCCAGCCACAUCUUUCCUAAGUGACAGGACAUAUCACACACCAACCGUGUGCAAAGCACUCUACCUAAAGAUCAGCGCUAACAGAGGAAUAAGCAGAGGCCUCCAGGAGCAAAGAGUGAAAAGUCUCCCAAGGAUUCAAGUACGGGGGAAGUGGGUGGAGCUUUCACCGUAGAAUCUUUCCUGGAGAAAAAGCAAAGAGUGGGACAACAAUGAAGGCAUUAAAAAUAACUGUCAAGUUGAAGAAAAAGGUUCCAGUUUGGACAAGACAUUAUACAGUCAUCCUAGAUACAGUGGGCAGAGUAUGACAGGAAGAGUGAAGAAAGCAAAGACAAAAUUUGCAAGCCGUGUAACCUCAGCGUACGUACUUACUCUCUCAGGCCUUAGUACCCUGAGGCCUCCCCAGAAGCCAAGCAGAUGCCGGUGCCAUGCCUGUAUAGCCUACACAACCGCCGCUGGCUGUGAAUCCAGUCCAAGUGCGUGCAAAUUAUGCCUUUGCUUUAUAUUUACUGAGCAACAACUAUGUGCCGCAACAGAUUUUUUUAAUACUCUAUUUUAUUUGCAAUCACAGAUCUGAAGUUUAUCAAUACAUGAUCUCCUCAAAAACGAAAGGAAUAAAACAAGUAUCUGCAAUUUGCUGAGAACUUAAUAUGUGUCAGUUGCCUGCAAAACUCAUCAUUCUUUAGACUUUCAAAUACAUCUGUGAGGACGGUAUUGUUGUUUCCACUUACACAUGAGAAGGCAAGAGACAAGCCCACGGUCACCCAGCUGGACCGAGGGAAGGAAUUGCCUCAAAGCCUGAAGGAGCCGAGGGAUUUCACCCAGGGAACAGAACAAGCGAAGAAGCCAAGAAAAUAUGCAAUCCAAGGGUCUCUUUCUGAUGACUACCUGUCACUGAAGCAUCUGGAAUGCAAUACAGGGACUGUUUGGAGCAAAGGUGUGGACCAGAGGGAAAACAGCCUCCUUUCUAUUUGUCAGAGAGCCAUCAGAGCAGCAAGAGCUAUUAGGAAGAAGACUGGUAUUUUGCCAAAGACUAAGGAUUCGGAGAUGACUACGGAAAGGAAAACUAAGCUCCAUGAGAAGAGGGGACUUGCCCAUGUGGCUCAGGGCUCUAUGCCCAGUGCCCUAGACAGUGCCUGACUGUGUGUGCGGAAUGAAUGAAUAACCUUGGUGAUCCACCCAAUGGCACUGGCGCUCAGUGACCUCAUCUGAAAUGGAAUAAGGAUUUUAUGAAAAUGCAUGUUUGUUGAAUAACACAAAGGAGAAUAUUAUCUAAUGUGGCUUGGGGUCAAUAUCAAGCAGUAAUAUUGUUUUAGUAUUAAUUAGAGCCGUGUCAUUGCAAGAGCUGGUAAGAAUACUGGUCUUGUUUCCAACUGAUGAAAACACUCAUACAGAUUAGGGUUUUUAUGAGUAAAUUUCAGAUCUUGAAAUCAGUGCUGUGAUCCACUCUCAUAGGG